UGGGGAAUUUUGGACAAUGGGGGAAACCCUGAUCCAGCCAUCCCGCGUGUGCGAUGAAGGCCUUCGGGUUGUAAAGCACUUUUUGCAGGAAAGAAACGUCAUGGGUUAAUACCCCGUGAAACUGACGGUACCUGCAGAAUAAGCACCGGCUAACUACGUGUCAGCAGCCGCGGUAAUACGUAGGGUGCAAGCUUUAAUCGGAAUUACUGGGCGUAAAGCGUACGCAGGCAGUUCGGAAAGAAAGAUGUGAAAUCCCAGAGCUCAACUUUGAAACUGCAUUUUUAACUCCCGGGCUAGAGUGUGUCAGAGGGAGGUGGAAUUCCGCGUAUAACAGUGAAAGGCGUAGAUAUGCGGAGGAACACCGAUGGCGAAGGCAGCCUCCUGAGAUAACACUGACGCUCAUGCACGAAAGCGUGGGGGGCAAACAAG
rnacentral:rRNA from 1 species